GAUGAACGCUGGCGGCGUGCCUAAUACAUGCAAGUCGAGCGAACAGACGAGGAGCUUGCUCCUCUGACGUUAGCGGCGGACGGGUGAGUAACACGUGGAUAACCUACCUAUAAGACUGGGAUAACUUCGGGAAACCGGAGCUAAUACCGGAUAAUAUAUUGAACCGCAUGGUUCAAUAGUGAAAGACGGUUUUGCUGUCACUUAUAGCUGGAUCCGCGCCGCAUUAGCUAGUUGGUAAGGUAACGGCUUACCAAGGCGACGAUGCGUAGCCGACCUGAGAGGGUGAUCGGCCACACUGGAACUGAGACACGGUCCAGACUCCUACGGGAGGCAGCAGUAGGGAAUCUUCCGCAAUGGGCGAAAGCUUGACGGAGCAACGCCGCGUGAGUGAUGAAGGUCUUCGGAUCGUAAAACUCUGUUAUUAGGGAAGAACAAAUGUGUAAGUAACUAUGCACGUCUUGACGGUACCUAAUCAGAAAGCCACGGCUAACUACGUG
rnacentral:rRNA from 1 species